AGUGAACGCUGGCGGUAGGCCUAACACAUGCAAGUCGAACGGCAGCACAGUAAGAGCUUGCUCUUACGGGUGGCGAGUGGCGGACGGGUGAGGAAUACAUCGGAAUCUACUUUUUCGUGGGGGAUAACGUAGGGAAACUUACGCUAAUACCGCAUACGACCUACGGGUGAAAGCAGGGGAUCUUCGGACCUUGCGCGAUUGAAUGAGCCGAUGUCGGAUUAGCUAGUUGGCGGGGUAAAGGCCCACCAAGGCGACGAUCCGUAGCUGGUCUGAGAGGAUGAUCAGCCACACUGGAACUGAGACACGGUCCAGACUCCUACGGGAGGCAGCAGUGGGGAAUAUUGGACAAUGGGCGCAAGCCUGAUCUAGCCAUACCGCGUGGGUGAAGAAGGCCUUCGGGUUGUAAAGCCCUUUUGUUGGGAAAGAAAAGCAGCAGGUUAAUACCCCGCUGUUCUGACGGUACCCAAAGAAUAAGCACCGGCUAACUUCGU
rnacentral:rRNA from 1 species